UCCUUGUUCGUCUAACGGUUAAGAUACGGCUUUUUCAACAGCUCUGGUUUUCAGAACACGAGCAGCUGAGAUCGGGGUUCGAUUCCCCGGCAGGGAA